UUGAGGAGCUAAGCACAGAAGGGUGCAGUUGGGAAAGUGUUCUCCUCUUAGAUGAGCUGUAAGUGAUAGUCUGCCCUGAUCAGGGUUGUUGGACAGUUAAUCGAGGUGUGACAGUGUGGGGAAUCUCAGGCCCAGGAGGCCACUAUGUGAGGAAAAGCCUCCUGAUCGCCAUUUUCUGUGGAAUCUGAGGGUGAAUGGAAGGUGGAGGACCGUAUUCAUGGAAGAGGAUCGAACAGACUACUGAGUUCUUAUGAGAAGAAUGGCUCUUAAGAAAUUGAAGGUGAUACCAAAGGAAGGUUACUUAUUACUUUUGGACUUUGAUGAUGAGGACGAUGACAUAAAAGUUUCAGAGGAGGCUCUUUCGGAAGUAAAGAGCCCAGCGUUUGAUAAAAAUGAGAAUAUAUCGCCUUAAGCAGAAGCAGAUGAAGAUAUGGGAGAUGAAGUAGACAGUAUGUUGGAUAAAUCUGAAGAGACAUGAAGUUCUUGUCCUACAGAACUUUGACUUGCUUUUUUCGUGUCACACCAAGUAAAUAACCCAGCAAUUGGUAAAGAUGGAAAUAUAUCGCCUCAAGUAAAAGGAGAUGAAGACAUGGGACAUGAAGUAGGCAGUAUGUUGGAUAAAUCUGGAGGUAUGUGUUUUAAAAAUAUUUCCCUGUUUCUUGAAGAGGCCAAACGAGGGAAACAGAUCUCUAUAGAACCUAUAGCAUAGGGGGAUAAUUGUAGACUUCACAGAAAUUAUAGUUUUCUUUAAAAAAUACACACAGAUAACUUCUCAUCCAACAUUCAAAACUAAAGAUUAACUAAAGAUGUAGCUCAGUGGUAAAGCACCAUUAAAAGUUAUAAAUUUCAUCUUCAGUGGUGAAAACAAAAACAAAAACAAAAACAAAAAACCAGCAAAAAAAAAAAAAACAAACCCAGCAAAUUAAC
rnacentral:lncRNA from 1 species